rnacentral:rRNA from 1 species
UACGGAGGAUGCGAGCGUUAUCCGGAUUUAUUGGGCUUAAAGGGUGCGUAGGCGGACGCUUAAGUCAGCGGUAAAAUUGCGGGGCUCAACCUCGUCGAGCCGUUGAAACUGGGUGUCUUGAGUGGGCGAGAAGUACGCGGAAUGCGUGGUGUAGCGGUGAAAUGCAUAGAUAUCACGCAGAACUCCGAUUGCGAAGGCAGCGUACCGGCGCCCUACUGACGCUGAAGCACGAAGGCGUGGGUAUCGAACAGG